AAUAAGGUAAAUUGAUGAAAAAGUGCUCAUCUUAACAUUGGAAUAUGACAGAUAUUAUGGCUGCAUAAUCUAUUGUAAAUCAGACAUAAAAAAUAAAGGGGGUUAAGUCAGAACCAGUAUCUUUUUAAAGAACAGAUACAUGUGAUAAAGUCCCUGAGUCCAUACACACAAUACAGAACAAAGUCAUCCUUUCCAACCAAACUAACAUUGGCAGUGGCCUCAGGGAACACAAAGGGCUCUGCUCUGAGGCACCUGAGGAGAAAGCCAGGAUGCCCCACCUUCCAACUUACUUGUGAAGAGGAUGAGAAUAAGGCUGAAUUUAUCCAGGUCAAAAUUUGGGUUCGAGAACGUGUCACAGAAGGUUGUGUAGAUGAUCAUGAGGAGCACGCUGCUGCUGACAGCACCAAAAGGAGGUUUCCUUCUUUCAAGCCAAUCCUUGAUGUACCUCCGGACAAUCUGAAACAGAGACCAACAGGUUGCCUCCUUUCAGAGACGGAGGGAGUUGCAUGGGGCAGCCCAAAGUGAUUCUGACAGCAGAAAGACAUCAAGGCAAGAGCAUCAUUUGGAUGAUGGCCACAGAGGAUUUCAAAGCCUCCCCGCCACACCACGCUUCUUCUGGGGAAUGUAACAUUUGUAGUGCAACCUCCACUGGUGUCCAUAAUGAGAGUAUAUUUUCAACUGCAUUCAAAUCCACCCUUAAUCAUGCCAAAUGCUCUUUGCUAGCUGUCACUGAGACGUGCCCAUUAAGCCUCCCCAAAGUUUAUCUCCUCUGCUGCUCCUAAUGGAUGUGUGUAAUUAUCACAGUCCCCUUUGCCUCAACAGACAAUUCCAAGUGCAACUUUGGGAAUCUUAAAAAUCUGACAUCUUCAAGAAUUUCAAGACGGUAGAUAAUCGAAAGUGAUCCAUGGAACAUAUGAAUAUUUAAAAUGCUAGCAAUGCACCAGAAGUUUUUAAUUAAAUUAUAACUCAUGCUUGAAAAGCAAAAGUGCAUGUGUUGUGGGAGUUUAAAUAAUUCAAACUCUGACUAUCUGGAGUUUUUGUGAAUCCAAAGACAAAUGCCAUUUGCAUGUUUUUAGAAUUCCAGAAUUUACACUUAAAAAUGAAUCAACCUGUCCUAACUUUCCUCCAAAAGGCUGAGUGAAAUACGAAGUCAUAUUUGGCAGUCCCUUCUUAUUUUAAAAUCAAACCAGAGAUAUCAAAUUGGGACAGCCUGAAUAUUGGUGCAAACUUCAAGUUUGUAUAUAAAAGUGAACCACUCUAUUUAAAACCUUUUGGCUUUUGAAAGAAGCUGAACAAACCCGAUAAUGAGGACUACAGUUGAGACACAUUAAGUUUUGAGUCACUCAUUAUCCUGCAUAAUUGAACAUGAGAUUUCACAACAGGCUGAAUUACCAUGAUCCAUUAGCAAUAAUGAGGUCAGGGAACUUUGUCUGACAAGGCUGAUGGGGUUCUGUCAUCUUCUACUCUGUCACUAAAAAAGCCCUAAUUCACAACGAGGCAUAUGCCUUCACAGAUACUCAAGAACAAAUAAAUGACUCUCCAGAGAACCUGUGGACAAACGGCUAUUGGAUCAACUUCCUCCAGCCUCAAGGACUCAGUAAGUGAAAUAAGCAAUGAAAUGGAGCCCCGGCAGAGAGCAGACCGCACCAGGUAAACUGAACCCCUGUACUUCUAAUAAGUUGAGCCAAAUGUCAAAGACUGCAUAACCUCCAAGCUGAACCCCUGGAAAAAUAACACCUCUUGGGUGAAGAAGGUUGAUAAGCAGAAAAAUGUCGGAAACAGCAACUCCCAACCACCUAUGGAAAGACUAAACUCAUCUCAUAGAUUCACAGCAUCUUCAGGCUGAAAGCUAUUAAACUCCUGGUCCAACAAAUGAGCCUGGAAGUCACAUGUAUGGCCAGGCAGUGGCAAAGGCCAAACUAGACCUCAUGUCACAUCACAGCUAGUCAAUAAUGAUUUCAACCAAAAAGAAAUUACUGUCUGGAGAAAACAGAAAUAAAAUAAAGUCCACUCUCAGAUGGAGGAU